rnacentral:rRNA from 1 species
AUUGAACGCUGGCGGCAUGCCUUACACAUGCAAGUCGAACGGUAACGCGGGGCAACCUGGCGACGAGUGGCGAACGGGUGAGUAAAGCAUCGGAACGUGCCCAGGAGUGGGGGAUAGCCCGGCGAAAGCCGGAUUAAUACCGCAUACGACCUAUGGGUGAAAGGGGGGGAUCGCAAGACCUCUCGCUAUUGGAGCGGCCGAUGUCGGAUUAGGUAGUUGGUGGGGUAAAGGCCUACCAAGCCGACGAUCUGUAGCUGGUCUGAGAGGACGACCAGCCACACUGGGACUGAGACACGGCCCAGACUCCUACGGGAGGCAGCAGUGGGGAAUUUUGGACAAUGGGCGCAAGCCUGAUCCAGCCAUGCCGCGUGCGGGAAGAAGGCCUUCGGGUUGUAAACCGCUUUUGUCAGGGAAGAAAUCCUUUGGGUUAAUACCUCGGGGGGAUGACGGUACCUGAAGAAUAAGCACCGGCUAACUACGUGCCAGCAGCCGCCGUAA